rnacentral:rRNA from 1 species
ACGCACGCUGGCGGCGUGCUUAACACAUGCAAGUCGAACGGAAAGGCCCUGCUUUUGUGGGGUGCUCGAGUGGCGAACGGGUGAGUAACACGUGAGUAACCUGCCCUUGACUUUGGGAUAACUUCAGGAAACUGGGGCUAAUACCGGAUAGGAGCUCCUGCUGCAUGGUGGGGGUUGGAAAGUUUCGGCGGUUGGGGAUGGACUCGCGGCUUAUCAGCUUGUUGGUGGGGUAGUGGCUUACCAAGGCUUUGACGGGUAGCCGGCCUGAGAGGGUGACCGGCCACAUUGGGACUGAGAUACGGCCCAGACUCCUACGGGAGGCAGCAGUGGGGAAUAUUGCACAAUGGGCGGAAGCCUGAUGCAGCAACGCCGCGUGCGGGAUGACGGCCUUCGGGUUGUAAACCGCUUUCGCCUGUGACGAAGCGUGAGUGACGGUAAUGGGUAAAGAAGCACCGGCUAACUACGAG